UUAUGUUUGAGAAUGAAGAUUAGAGAGAGAUGGGAGGAGGAGUUUUAUAGUGAACCUCAAACAAAUUGGUUCUUGUUACUCUCUCCGUGUGCAGUAUCGCAUUCGUAUUUAGCCUUCAUUCGAUUACUGCACAAAUAGAUGGCUAUGUAAGUACACUGUAUACCAUAUACCUUAAUUAUAGUGGAAGUAAAAGAAAAAAAGAAGCUGAGAGUUGAUUUUGAUAUUGGAAGGUGGGAGACAAUCAUAUAUAAAAGAAACUUUGAUGGGGGCCUCCAGGGGAAACACUGCAUCAAUGCAAGUGGAGGCAGCAAGAGGACAGGUUUGUGCUGAUUCUAUUUUAUGCUUGUUCAACUUUAUUGCAUAAUUUAGCUGGUGUGGUCUCUCUCUCACACACACACGCACUACAUUGCCAUUGGUGAGUCUUUAUAAUCAUAGGAUAGCUGCAAAAUCUUAAAAGUAUAUAUAGAUGAAAGAUAAAUGUUAGUUGUGAAGGGAAGUAAAAGAGAAAAGAAUGAUUCUUUGUCAAUGUCUUUCCUCUUUCUCUCUAUCUGGAUAAAAUGAGAAUAAGUUAUAGUUUAUUUUUAAUAAAAAAUAAGUGGAAUAUAUAGAUCAUUUUUUGUUAUUUUGUUCGGUUCAUUACAUUUUUGACGUAGAAAUUUGCUAUGAUUUUCUAUGUUUACUGUCACUAUGGGAAUCAAAUUUUAAAUGAGUAAAAGAAGAUACGUGCAAGUGUGCUUGGACUUCUACAAAAGAAAGCACUAUGUGAUUGACUACACUAUGAUGCCUAAGCCAAGGUUUGUGUUUGAGAUUGAGAAAUCAAUUUGAUAGAGUUUUGGUUAGUUCAAAGUGGAUGCGAGCCUAAAGAAAUUUGGACGAGUCGGUGUCCGAUGAGUAUAAGCCAUUGACUUGAUUUGACAUGCUUCUGACGCGCUUCGGUUACAUCAGGUGGCAUGUCGAAAUUUCUAUUGAUUUUCUAGGAUCCAACUAGUUUCUUGAAAGGUUGGUGAACUUGGAAGCCCCAGCGCAGAGUGCACAGAUGUAGUGGCGUUUCUAGACCAAAGGAAUAGCUCUCGUUGGGUAGGUUUUA
rnacentral:lncRNA from 1 species